rnacentral:lncRNA from 1 species
AAGCAUGUAUGAACAUUGGAAAAGAGUUUCCAUAGGAUUCACAAGUGAACUCAAAUUGAGGUAUUCUGGCAUAUGACUGAUGUUGGGAUUUGGCGACUUCUCUAUGACCUCCAUCCUAUCAGAACUCAUGAUAGAAGAACUAAAUCAUACGAUAAUUGCACCUAGGGGUUCAAUAUGUUUAUUUUUCUGGGUUGUCACUA